rnacentral:SRP_RNA from 1 species
GCCGGGUGUGGUGGCGCAUGCCUGUAAUCCCAGCUACUCAGGAGGCUGAGGCAGGAAAAUCGCUUGAACCCAGGAGGUGGAGGUUUCAGUGAGCUGAAAUUGCACCACUGCACUUCAGCCUGGGUGAUAGAGUGAUACUCUGUCUUAA